GCUGCAGACAAGCCACGUUGUUUUAUUUGCUAAGGUUUUAUAUUUAUAGCUUUCUUCAAGUGAGAUUUAAGUUAACCCCAUUGGCUACAAGCAGGCAAAGUGUUCUACGGUGUGAUGAUGUCUUGAAGAUGUGCGACAUUAAACCAUCAAUAAAAGGAGCCGGAGUCUCGCGUAUUCACAAUGGGCGUUACAGUAGAACACCGCACUGCAUUGGGGAAGGCUCCAAGAUGGACGUAACACGGAGCUGAGACGACGUCGACGUCACCGCACACUGUUAAAAGGAGGACCCAAGUCAAAGAAAUGAUGACUCCAGCAGACAUAAUCAAAGUCUUCGAGUCAGAUUUCACUGAGUGGACCAGUGAAGAAGUUUCAAUGUCACAAGAAGACAUCAAGUUUUUGGCAAAGAUAAAGAUGGCAUCAAGCAGAAAAAUUCUAAUGGACACUACGAAAUGCAAUUGCCUUUUAAGGAAGAAAGUCCAACUCUGCCAAACAACAAAGCGUACGCAGAAAAUCGUCUUAAAUGCCUGGAGAAACGUUUAACAAAGGAUGAACAACACCACAAGGAUUAUGUGGCUUUGAUGGAGGACAUGAUCGCAAGAGAUGAUGCCACAUCCAGAAAUCAGUGGAAGACGGCAAAGGUUACCGAAGUCUUCCCAGGAGCAGAUGGGAAAGUCAGAAAGCUCAAACUACUGCUUAGUGACACAACACGAGACAGUAAAGGCACGGACACAACUAGACCAUUUUAUUGGAAAGGUCCAUGCAUACAUUAAACUGUGCUUUUGCUUGAAGCUGAGUAAGAGGUCAAUUUAUUUUUGAAAGUGAUUUAACCAUAUUGUCUGAUUUUACAAUGUUUUGUUUUGAGAAAGAUGCUGUUCACUAUGUGAAGUCUGUUAGAAAUCAUACGUGGUUUGAUUUCUGAUGGUGGGAGUGUAACUGCAGGCAAUGUUUUCCUGUUCUGUAAAAUCGUAUGUGUAAUUCAGUCUUUGACCUCAAGGUGGACUCUCGUAUUAUUUCUUGUAAAUGUGGUUUUAUUUCUUGGUCUCAUUCGUUGUUUUUUACUCUGAAGCUUCCAGAAGCUAGCGUUGCAGCUUCAGACAAGCCACGUUUUUUAUUUGAUAAGGUUUUAUAUUUUAAGCUUUCUUCAAGCGAGAUCUAAGUUAACCCCAUUGGCUACAAGCAGGCAAAGUGGUUAGUAUUGUGUUUUUGUUUCAAUUUUAUUUGCCAUGAAAGAUUUAUGUGCGCUUAGAUAAUUGUUUGUGUGUUAAGCUAAUUUCACGACUGUAUUGUAGUUCUACGAUGUCUACAAGAGGUGCGACAUUAAACCAUCA